rnacentral:rRNA from 1 species
GACGAACGCUGGCGGCGUGCCUAAUACAUGCAAGUCGAACGCAGUGGGGACGGGUGAGUAACACGUGGGUAACCUCCCAUCAGAGGGGAUAACACUUGGAAACAGGUGCUAAACCGAUACUGCUGGAUGGACCCGCGGUGCAUUAGCUAGUUGGUGGGGUAACGGCUCACCACGGCCACGAUGCAUAGCCGACCUGAGAGGGUGAUCGGCCACACUGGGACUGAGACACGGCCCAGACUCCUACGGGAGGCAGCAGUAGGGAAUCUUCGGCAAUGGACGCAAGCCUGAUGCAGCCAUGCCGCGUGUAUGAAGAAGGCCUUCGGGUUGUAAAGUACUUUCAGUCGGGAGGCGUUACCGACAGAAGAAGCACCGGCUAACUCCGUGCCAGCAGCCGCGGUAAUUC